GACGAACGCUGGCGACGUGCCUAAUACAUGCAAGUUGAGCGCUGAAGGUUGGUACUUGUACCAACUGGAUGAGCAGCGAACGGGUGAGUAACGCGUGGGGAAUCUGCCUUUGAGCGGGGGACAACAUUUGGAAACGAAUGCUAAUACCGCAUAAAAACUUUAAACACAAGUUUUAAGUUUGAAAGAUGCAAUUGCAUCACUCAAAGAUGAUCCCGCGUUGUAUUAGCUAGUUGGUGAGGUAAAGGCUCACCAAGGCGAUGAUACAUAGCCGACCUGAGAGGGUGAUCGGCCACAUUGGGACUGAGACACGGCCCAAACUCCUACGGGAGGCAGCAGUAGGGAAUCUUCGGCAAUGGACGAAAGUCUGACCGAGCAACGCCGCGUGAGUGAAGAAGGUUUUCGGAUCGUAAAACUCUGUUGGUAGAGAAGAACGUUGGUGAGAGUGGAAAGCUCAUCAAGUGACGGUAACUACCCAGAAAGGGACGGCUAACUACGUG
rnacentral:rRNA from 1 species